UGAAAUUAGCAGAAAUGUACCUGAAAUUACCUGAAAUUAGAGUGUGCCCGCCCGAGCGAGUGAUGCCUAAAACAUGCAAACAAAACUGAAGACCAGGAACUGGAACCUGGGAACCUGAAAGAUGAUGUUGUCCUGAAAGACACAAUUCAGGCAGCAGCAUGGUGCCAGUUACAGUCCUUCAAGGACAGCGUUUCUCUCCCAGAGGUCAUUGGGAUGGAAGGUUGGGAGCAGAUGGCAGCAUCAACACAGCGCAAAUCCCAUGACGGCGGGGAUGAGGAAGAAACUUGGAAACCAUUCCAAUUCUCAUUCAGAUUACAUACUGAUAUUAACUGUUCUGUGUGGAGAUGAUGGACAGGAGAAACCUGAAGGUGUUUGCCUCUUUUGAGUCAAACACCUCUCCCCCUCCCCGUGACGCCUGAGCCUUUAUGGCGGCGGUGACGGCGAUGUCGGGCGACAGAGAGUGAAGCGAGAGUGGCGUCCACCUCACUGAGGAAGGCGUCAGUGUGUUCCCCCCCCCGUUGAGACUUUGUUUGUUCUACUCUUUAUUGAUUUA